CUACGGGAGGCAGCAGUGGGGAAUAUUGGACAAUGGACGGAAGUCUGAUCCAGCCAUGCCGCGUGCAGGAUGAAGGCGCUCAGCGUUGUAAACUGCUUUUGGAUGGGAAUAAUAACCUCGACGUGUUCGGGGCUUGAAGGUACCAUCAGAAUAAGCACCGGCUAACUCCGUGCCAGCAGCCGCGGUAAUACGGAGGGUGCAAGCGUUAUCCGGAAUCACUGGGUUUAAAGGGUGCGUAGGCGGCGCGAUAAGUCAGUUGUGAAAUUCCCCGGCUUAACCGGCGGGACUGCGAUUGAUACUGUCGUGCUUGAAUCAGGUUGAGGUAGGCGGAAUGUGGCAUGUAGCGGUGAAAUGCUUAGAUAUGCCAUAGAACACCGAUUGCGAAGGCAGCUUGCUGGACCUCGAUUGACGCUGAGGCACGAAAGCGUGGGGAGCAAACAGGAUUAGAAACCCUUGUAGUCC
rnacentral:rRNA from 1 species